CGUGCAGGUUGAGAGCGGCGUCCCCCAGCGCCACACAGCCCGAGGGCAGGAAACCGUCGGGGACGUGCCGUCCCCCGCCGCCCG
rnacentral:tRNA from 1 species